AAUCUUCCGCAAUGGACGCAAGUCUGACGGAGCAACGCCGCGUGUGUGAAGAAGGUUUUCGGAUCGUAAAGCACUGUUGUUAGAGAAGAACGGCUACUAGAGGAAAUGCUAGUAGAUUGACGGUAUCUAACCAGAAAGCCACGGCUAACUACGGUCCAGCAGCCGCGGUAAUACGUAGGUGGCAAGCGUUGUCCGGAUUUAUUGGGCGUAAAGGGAGCGCAGGUGGUUUCUUAAGUCUGAUGUGAAAGCCCACGGCUUAACCGUGGAGGGUCAUUGGAAACUGGGGAACUUGAGUGCAGAAGAGGAAAGCGGAAUUCCAUGUGUAGCGGUGAAAUGCGUAGAUAUAUGGAGGAACACCAGUGGCGAAAGCGGCUUUCUGGUCUGUAACUGACACUGAGGCUCGAAAGCGUGGGGAGCAAA
rnacentral:rRNA from 1 species